AUGAAAGCACUUACCUCAGAGAGCGCUUUGAGGAUUAAGGGAGGUAAUGCCUGGCGUGCUGAUGCAGGGUAAACCCCACGGUCAGCUAUUACAGAAAACGGGCAUAGCCAUCUAGCACAGUUUUAAAAAGCAAGUACCAAAGAAAGUACACCAGUUCUCCCAUCCUCUCUUCUGCAGUGACAACAAAGGGGCUUAGCAUCCCAGGGGAACACUUUGGGGAAGUUGUGCACCCCUCCGGAACUGAAACUCGCCCCCAACAAAGUCUGAUGUCAUUUACUGGUGGCUCGGGAAAUAUACCGCCCAGGACACAAGCUCGCCUCCAACAUGCCAUCAGUGACUCACUUGUCACCAGCUUCCCAGCCCUGAGCAGAGGAAAGUGCAGAAGCAAAGCUUUCUGAAGAUCAGGGCUCUGAGGCCCUGGAAGAGGUGACGGGAAGUGAUUGAGAAGUCCCCACAGCCACCAUCUGGAAGCUCGGGGUGGAGUCCUCCCGGGGACAGAAGGACAGACGGCCCGCUCCUUCCCUGCCCCAGUAUUCUCAGGAGGAAGCAGGAGCCCAUGUUGCCUUCUGACCCGGAAUCAGCAGGGUUGCCGUAGAAUUUACAAGCAACUUCGAGACGCAGCACUGAGAUGGAAGAUUUAGGACUGGAGAAUUAAUUUUCUUUUCGUCCUGAGUAAAGCAGCUCUUUUUCUAAAGCCAAGAAUCCUUACAGAAUGAAUGUACCCAACGGAAACGAGCCAGUAAGCACUGCAUGACCCCAAUAAUUCCGAUCAUUUUGUGCCGCAUUUUGCAGUGGCCUAAAUUAAGCAGAAGAGAAUCCGCAGGACACGGUGCUCCUGAGAACAAAGCUGAAACUCUGCCAGUGGAACCUCGUUCCCUGGGGGGAGACUCGGGGCGGUGUCUUCUAGAACCUAAGAAGAAUAGCCCAGAGCUUGGUUUGUGGAUGGAGCACUGUUUCUUGGGUGUAAGGGUUUUAAGGGAAACAAUAACCAGCAAACAGUGACAGAGAAGUUAGGUCCGGAUUUGACAAGAACACUUCUUUAUUAAAAUGUAAUCUAGACAAUUAGAACCUUGUAGCUAAUUCAAACGGAAAAUCCUGCAAAAUGACAGUCUUCUCGUAAAAUUUUAUGUGUUUUCAAGUACAUAUUCCCCUUGCUCAGUCACACUUGCAAAAUGAUAUCCAUCUGCAUAUGAGCCC